rnacentral:rRNA from 1 species
GUAGGUGGCAAGCGUUGUCCGGAAUUAUUGGGCGUAAAGCGCGCGCAGGCGGUCCUUUAAGUCUGAUGUGAAAGCCCACGGCUCAACCGUGGAGGGUCAUUGGAAACUGGGGGACUUGAGUACAGAAGAGGGAAGCGGAAUUCCAAGUGUAGCGGUGAAAUGCGUAGAGAUUUGGAGGAACACCAGUGGCGAAGGCGGCUUUCUGGUCUGUAACUGACGCUGAGGCGCGAAAGCGUGGGGAGCAAACAGGGAUUAGAUACCCUGGUAGUCCACGCCGUAAACGAUGAGUGCUAAGUGUUAGGGGGGUUUCCGCCCCCUUAGUGCUGCAGCUAACGCAUUAAGCACUCCGCCUGGGGAUACGGCCGCAAGGCUG